UUCCAGUCUCAAACCAGCUUACUAUUAAUAAUUAAGUUCAUUUACAUAAUUAAAUCUGAUCUUAAUUACUCCUGACGACAUACAAAUUUAUUUUCUCAAAGUUCUUUUUUUUUUAACAAACCUUAUACCACUUUUUGUAUCCAUAUGGUUUUUCCAUUAUUUUUCCCUAUCCAGAAGCAACUGGCUCUAUGACAAAAUUAUCAUCAUUUUUCUGCAACAAAAACAUCUCCAUUCUUUAUACCUUCUCUCACUUGCAACACAUAUUCUAGUUGCUUUACACACUGAAAUGCUCCCCUUGUCAUUUCUAGUAGCUUUAAUUACAUAUUAUAAUUUUUAGUCCUUAAAAGUCUUAACAAAACCAAGAAUCAAGUAAUUGAACUAUUAUACCAGCAUUUACUGAUUGGUAAACUUAAGAACACAUUGCAUAACCUCUAAAAACAUACAUUUUCCCCCCACAUAGCAUACGUUCUCUUUAAUGUAGUACAUGAUGCGUGUUUAGUAAACCUAAUCAUCUUUAGUGAUUUUUUAAUCUCCAAAGAAGGGUUUCCCAGGCAUAUUUUUGUUCUCUUUGCAGUCAAAAUUCUGAAAACAGCAUUUCAUCUAGCCAGUGUUCUCUAAGUGUACUUCCCAAUACAAAUGGGCCUCCGCAUCAGAAACACGUCAGAACCAACUGGCAAAACAUCCACAUAGCACUUCGAGCUCAAAAGAGAAGUUGCCAGGCGCACAUUGCUGAACUUACUGGGUCUGGGAGCUCGUCAGCUUGUCCAGAGGUGUCUUCUCAUUCCACCAAGGAAAAGCACAUAUGGGCAGCCAGUGCUGAGCAGAGGAGAAGCAGGAAGGACCCCCGAAACCAAUGCUUUAGGCAGCUGCUAGGAAUAUCCUCCCCAAACCUCUUCCUGGGGCCAGCGAGGCUCCUCACAGCCUUCCUAGCACGUCGUCACGGCAGCAGCACCAAUGGAGAAACCCCCAGGAGCCAGAUAUCGCGAGAGCACAGCCUCACGUUGGCGCCAAAAUCUGUUAGCGAAAGUGAGCCCAGCUGCUUCCCGCUGGAAAGCCAAUAAAGAGACUCUUUUCAGGUUUAACAAAACAACAGGAGGUAGAAGAAAUCAACAGUCAAGGACAAAAAAUGCUGAAGAAAAAAGGCAAAACCACCACAGAUCUUCAAGAAGGGAAAAUGAGUUGCAUGGAAGAUGGGCCCGUUUUGUUGCCAUGUGGCUCCCGGAGAAGAAAGCGAUGGAUUCCCGUCAUUCUGCAGAAAGGGUCCAUCCGUAUUGCUGCAGAUCCACCCACUGCUCUCGCAGCUUCAUCACUCUCCUCGCUGCGGGCUCCACGGUGGCUACAUUCUACCGCACAGUACUCACACUCAUCAGUCAAGGCCUUUCCACCCUCUGCAAGAUUCGGCCUUUGCUGCUUUCAGCAAUAGGGAGUGAGCUGGGUUAACCUUCCCCCAAGUAUGCUUCAUUGAACAUUAAAUCUAGAGAGUGCGCUCUGCAUCUGGGGACACCGAGUGCACUGCACCCAGCCCAGUUUCUUUCAAAAUGUCUACCAUUCUUGAAAUUCUGCCCAAGCUCACCUUAUAGGGUGAUCACUUCACACCUCCAAGUGCACAUGAGUUAGUCAAAGCAUACACCAACUUUCAUGCUGAGUGGGAUGCUCUGAACAUUGAGACAACCAUCAAGACCAAAGGUGUGGAUGAGGUCACCAUUGUCAACAUCCUGACCAACCGCAGCAAUGAACAGAGCCAGGAUAUCACCUUCGCCUACC
ensembl:lncRNA